CACGUAGGCACCAAGCGUUAUCCGGAUUUAUUGGGCGUAAAGAGCUCGUAGGCGGUUCGGUAAGUCGGGUGUGAAAGCUCUGGGCUCAACCCAGAGAGGCCACCCGAUACUGCUGUGACUAGAGUGCGGUAGGGGAGCGGGGAAUUCCUGGUGUAGCGGUGAAAUGCGCAGAUAUCAGGAGGAACACCAGCGGCGAAGGCGCCGCUCUGGGCCGUAACUGACGCUGAGGAGCGAAAGCAUGGGUAGCAAACAGG
rnacentral:rRNA from 1 species